rnacentral:rRNA from 1 species
UACGGAGGGUGCAAGCGUUAUCCGGAUUUACUGGGUUUAAAGGGUGUGUAGGCGGGUAUUUAAGUCAGUGGUGAAAUCUCCAGGCUCAACCUGGAAACUGCCAUUGAUACUAUUUACCUUGAAUUCUGUUGAGGUGGGCGGAAUACAUCAUGUAGCGGUGAAAUGCUUAGAUAUGAUGUAGAACACCAAUUGCGAAGGCAGCUCACUAAACAGACAUUGACGCUGAGGCACGAAAGCGUGGGGAUCAAACAGG